rnacentral:misc_RNA from 1 species
UGUGGGAGCGAGCUUGCUCGCGAUGGCUGCGGCACAUUCAAGUAUUGAUGUGCCUGACAGACCGCUAUCGCGAGCAAGCUCGCUCCCACA